CCCCACUGCGCAAGGCCGGGGAUUGAAUCCACAUCCUCAUGGAUACUAGUCAGGACCUGUCCACAGCAGCCACACUCAUGGUCCAGCAUCUCCUCUGCGUGGGGUACCAUGGAAACCUCAUCAUCAUCACGGAGAACUCUAACAUCAGGGCGGGGCAGGUUUGGAAGACACUAGACGCCGUGUGGCUUUGAGUGAGUCAUUGUCCUCCUUCCGGCAUCAUCUUCCCCAUCGGCAGAAUCCGUUGUGGGAACCCUCCAUACUUUAUAAGGCGUCAGGAUGAGCCUGGAAAUAAAUGGAGCACAUGUUUUACAAACCACAAAGCAGGUAUCAGAGCCACAGAUGCUGCUUUGAGGCAGGAAGGUGGCAAAGGGGAAACAGAGGCAGAGUCUAAGGUGGGCUUAAAGGUUCAUGGUCUUUGGUUGCAACCUACCCCUCUGACCCAGGCCUGCACAGUCACAUGCCUAAGGCAGUGAGACUGUGGGGAAGGAGCUGGAGUGGAGAGUGCAUCCUGGGAGCUGGAGAAAGGAGAAAGGAUGGAAGAUGAAAUGGGAACUGGAGAUGAAGGAGGUGGUGGAGGGUGGGGAGAGAGUGGCCUGCUUUGUGGCGUCAAUAGCAGAGGAGGUGACAUCUACAUGGAUGUCAGCCUAUAACCCAUCUGGUGUCACUUAAGUCUCCAUUUUCUGUCCUAAAGAAAUGAAAUGGGGCCCCUCUCCCACCUCCGGCACAGGUCCGGCCCUUGGGGAAGAGGCAGGCAGGGAAAACCCACUGCUUGGGGCCCGGGGGGAGGGAAGGUGCAGGGGGAGGGGCCUGAGAGUUACUCAGGCUCCAGGGACUUCGCAAAUGGCCAAAAAGUUUUUUAAAGAAGUGAAAUGAUACUGGGACCCAUAGUGGCCCAGUUGGAAGCUCUCUCAGACACAGACAGGAGGCCAGGGGAAUCUGAUGCUUUGUGAAGGGAAUGUAGCAGGCUGGACCACACUCCUGGAAUAAAGGGAAACUGUCCCUUGGUGCCUGCCUGCAUGUGUGUGGAGGGGGAAGGAGGCCCUCUGAGGUUGCUGCCUCUUGGAGGGGCCAGGAUGGCAUUUCCUCAGCAGACUCCUUCCUGCCCGUAGCAUUGUUGUGGCUCUGUUGGGUGUGUUUGGAGAAGAAUUAAAGACAACCUCACCAGGUCAUUUGAGGCUUUUAAUUGCUUUGUUUGGACCUCUUUGAGUGUAAAAUUCAGCCCCCCACCCUCUGGCUAUGGCCAGGGCUAACUCCACCUUUGGCGGCAGAGCUGCCUCUUAGGCUGGAGAAGAGAAAGGAAGGGGAUGAACAGGCAUCUGGCUUUGCCUGUGUCCGUUCUUUGCCUUAGGUAAGGUACUUAACCCCGUGCCUUUCUUUUCUCAUCUGCAAAAUAGACAUGAUAAUAAUAACCCUACCUUGUCAUGCCAUUGUGGGGCUUAAAGGAGGUGGUGCAUGGACAGCACUUAGAAUAGAUCUGGCAAAAAGUGCUUGCUCCACCUAGCUGUAUUUAUUAGUACAUGAGAAUUGCUCAAUAAAUCAGAGGGCAUAGAUUUUGUAAUUAGGUGCUAAUAUGUAGCCACUAUACCCUAUUCAAAAAAACAGAGCAGAUUUUUUUUUUUUUCUCUUUAGGGCCACACCUGCGGUUAGGGGUCUAAUUGGGGUCCCAAGUUGGGAGUCAAAUUGGAACUAUAGCUGCUGGCCUACAACACAGCUCACAGCAAAGCAAGAUCCUUAACCAGGGAUCAAACCCAAAACCUCAUGGAUCCUAGUCGGGUUCGUUACGGCUGAGCCACGACGGGAACUCACAAAAGCAGACUCUUUAAAGCGUGCUCCUUGGGUCACGUAUAUCAGGAAGGCAUAAGGCAGCUCAGAUUCCAGAGAUCCAUUCCAGAAGUGCCUAAUCAGAAUCCAAUGGGCCUAAAAUUCUGGCCUUUUGAGCAUUUCCCAUGAUUCUAAAGUACACUAAAGUUUGAAAAUCCCUAGGAGUAAAUGGUAAAGAUGCUCAUCCUUCUAGGGCAUCCUCUGUAGUCGACGGAAUAAUGCCCCCCACCCCAAAAGUUGUGCAUGUCUCAAUCCCUGAGCCUGUUACGUGGCAGGGGGAAGUUCAGGUUGCUAAUUAAUGAACUUCAAAACAUUAUCUGUCCAAGGUAGUCACAGGGGGCCUUCCAUGGAGUAGUGGGAGAGAGAAGAGUUGGAACUAGAGAGAUGGCAGUGUGAGGAAGAUGCGACUGGCUUUGAAGAAGGAGGAAGGGCCACAGACCCCUAGAUGCUGGAAAAGACAAGAAAACAGAUUCUCGCCUUCAGCCUCCAGAAGAAACCCAGCCCUGCUUGAGUUUAGCCCAUGAGCCCCAAUCUGGACUUCUAACCUCUAGCAUCAUAAAGAUAAUACAAUAGUGUUAUUUUCA